UAUAUAUAAGUGUAAAAAUUGCACAAAAUUUUUUGAAAAUUUUAGUAUUAUUUUAUUUUAAUAUAUAUAU
rnacentral:tRNA from 1 species